rfam:TPA: Bos taurus chromosome 3, whole genome shotgun sequence.
CCCCUGGUGGUCUGGUGGCUAGGGUUCCUGGUUUUCAUCCAGGCUACCCAGGUUCAGUUCCUGGGCAGGGAA